CCUACGGGAGGCAGCAGUGGGGAAUAUUGGACAAUGGGCGAAAGCCUGAUCCAGCAAUGCCGCGUGAGUGAUGAAGGCCUUAGGGUUGUAAAGCUCUUUUACCAGGGAUGAUAAUGACAGUACCUGGAGAAUAAGCUCCGGCUAACUCCGUGCCAGCAGCCGCGGUAAUACGGAGGGAGCUAGCGUUGUUCGGAAUUACUGGGCGUAAAGCGUGCGUAGGCGGUGAUUCAAGUCAGAGGUGAAAGCCUGGAGCUCAACUCCAGAACGGCCUUUGAAACUAGAUCGCUAGAAUUAUGGAGAGGUAAGUGGAAUUCCGAGUGUAGAGGUGAAAUUCGUAGAUAUUCGGAAGAACACCAGUGGCGAAGGCGACUUACUGGACAUAUAUUGACGCUGAGGUACGAAAGCGUGGGGAGCAAACAGGAUUAGAUACCCUGGUAGUCCACGCCGUAAACGAUGAUAACUAGCUGUUCGGGCUCUCAGAGCUUGAGUGGCGCAGCUACGCAUAAGUUAUACGCCGUCGGGAGGUACGGUCGCGAAGAAGUUAAACUUAACAAAUAGAAGUUAGACGGACGUGAGACGUAGCCGACGGACGACGACGACGGGAGGUUAGG
rnacentral:rRNA from 1 species